GACGAACGCUGGCGGCGUGCCUAACACUUGCAAGUCGAGCGAGGAGAGUUCCUUCGGGAACAAACCUAGCGGCGGACGGGUGAGUAACACGUGGGCAACCUGCCUUGUAGAGGGGAAUAGCCUUCCGAAAGGAAGAUUAAUACCGCAUAACAUUACAGUUUCGCAUGAAACAGUAAUUAAAGGAGUAAUCCGCUACAAGAUGGGCCCGCGGCGCAUUAGCUAGUUGGUGAGGUAACGGCUCACCAAGGCGACGAUGCGUAGCCGACCUGAGAGGGUGAUCGGCCACAUUGGGACUGAGACACGGCCCAGACUCCUACGGGAGGCAGCAGUGGGGAAUAUUGCACAAUGGGGGAAACCCUGAUGCAGCAACGCCGCGUGAGUGAUGAAGGUUUUCGGAUCGUAAAGCUCUGUCUUCGGGGACGAUAAUGACGGUACCCGAGGAGGAAGCCACGGCUAACUACGUG
rnacentral:rRNA from 1 species